UGUGUGUUUGUGUGUGUGUGUGUGUGUGUGUGUGUGUGUGUGUGUGUGUGUGUGUGUGUUUGUGUGUGUGUGUGUGUGUGUGUGUGUGUGUGUGUGUGUGUUUGAGAGAGAAAGCAUGUGUGUGUGUUCAAGAAGAGAGGCCGUGAUGUGAUGGAGAGAUGAAAAAAAAAGAAGCGAGCACACCCUGGACUGAGAGGCCUGGCAAGGCGACAGUACAAUGCAGACUUGUUCUUAUUACAAUCAAAAUUGUGUGAAUUCACAAUCAAUCGACUGCAGCAGGUGUAAAAACACAACUUUCAAGAGGGAACCAAUUCAGUUGGUGAGAACUUUCAGAAAUGUGAAAACAGCUUUUUCAUGGGUACUCUCAUUAAUUAAUAUGGAGUUGCAAACCAUUUUCAUGUAUAUGCCUGUCAUCUUGUUUUUCUUUCUAAACAUGUAAACCCCUAUUAAUUAAAAGCCAAAAAUAGAAACAUAACAUGCAUAGUUAUGGUGAGUUGUUAAGGUCCUUUCAGGAACUGCAUCAAUGCAAAGUGUGCAAGAUGUAGAUUACUUCAGAGAUUGUUGUCUUUAGUAAGGUCAAACCACAUUACUCUCCUUUACUGAUAUAUGCGUACACUCGUUCUUUACAGAGCUGGAGACAGCACUGCACUCCACUGAAGCCAAAUUACCACGAGUACUCCCUCAAAAAAAAACAGGGCUAUAUAUUCCCUAUAUAACCUUGCUUAAACCAUUUGAUUAACUACAACAAACCUACAUAAUCUGCUUACAUUUAAUGCAUGAAAAUCUAACUUAUUUGUAAGUGCUAAUGUAUGUAUGAUAUAUUCCAGCUCCAGCUUCCAUCACUAACACCCCUUCCCUCAUUCAUCCUCAUAAUCUGUCCCUCUUGCUUUUACUGUUGUCUUUUGUAUCUUAACAGUUUCCGUGGAGGAAGGCCUAAUCAGAACGCACAUUUCCUGAAGUGAGUUGGCACUGAUGCGUUUUAUUCAAUGACAGCUGUCCAGCAGCUUUGACUAAUGGGGCAGAUGUCCUGACAGUGUUGUAGCAGCGCAGCAGCAAUGUGCUGUCUCUGUUUGUGCCUUCCUCUUGGGGAAUUAGGCUGAAUGUAUGUAUGAAGUGUUUGGGGCAGGCGCUCCGUUGUUGACAGUAUUAUUGAUCAUCAUUUUUUAAUAACCAAGUCAUUGACGAGCAGAGAGUGGGAUGAACAGGGUCGGUCACUCUCACUGUGAAGUCUUAAAUAGCACCAUGAACAAAUAAUGUGCUGUGAACAUCCUGGUUUAAUUUGCUAGCCAUAUGCCUUGAGCAGCUGUAAGAUGUAAACACGUCUCAUCUUUCCAAAGACCCCUCACCUCCCUACAAAAUAGGAGAAGAUCCGGUUUCAAAUCCACAGGGGGGAUCUGCCCUCCUUGGAGGUCACCUUCAUCCUCAAUCUCUGACAUCCUACGACAUGUAACUUCCUUCAGCCACAGGAAGUCCUGUUUCUCAUUGUCCGGUUCCUGUUGUUCAGGGUUACACUAACCUUCUUCAUUUAGACACACAUUUACAACUCUUCUCUCCCUCAGUGUUUUUUUUAUAUUGACUUUUACAUUUAGAUGACCAAGUAGAAAUGGUGAAAAGCACUUUGGCAGCUUCAGUGAUGUUCGCUUUCCCCCAGUUUUUUCAGACGGAGAGGUGUUUUAAACUGUGUACCUGUCACUUCAUUGUGUUGCUUGACUCUGUGAUGUUUUAUAAUAAAUACAUGAAAAACUAUGUAUGUUUGUAUGUAAGUAUGUAUGUAUUUUUUGUACAGUAUGUAUGAUUUGUGUUGUAUGAAAUGUCUCGUGUGCAAUAGCCUUUUGUGUCCAGUAGCACGCUGCCUGUGUUAAAUCGGUACAAUCUGAAACACUAAUGUAGGUACAUAAACUUUUUGUUAAUUGCAUUCCCUUUUUUAUAAAAUAAAUGAAAUACUGAAAGAA